rnacentral:rRNA from 1 species
GUGGGGAAUAUUGGACAAUGGGCGAAAGCCUGAUCCAGCCAUGCCGCGUGAGUGAUGAAGGCCUUAGGGUUGUAAAGCUCUUUCAGUAGGGAAGAUAAUGACGGUACCUACAGAAGAAGCCCCGGCUAACUUCGUGCCAGCAGCCGCGGUAAUACGAAGGGGGCUAGCGUUGUUCGGAUUUACUGGGCGUAAAGCGCACGUAGGCGGAUUGGACAGUUAGAGGUGAAAUCCUGGAGCUCAACUCCAGAACUGCCUUUAAUACUGCCAGUCUAGAGUCCAGAAGAGGUGAGUGGAACUCCUAGUGUAGAGGUGGAAUUCGUAGAUAUUAGGAAGAACACCAGUGGCGAAGGCGGCUCACUGGUCUGGUACUGACGCUGAGGUGCGAAAGCGUGGGGAGCAAACAGGAUUAGAUACCCCAGUAGUCC